AUAUAUUAAAUUAAAAUUUUAUAUUUUAGGGGUUGGGCUAAUUAACCCUAAAUGCCAAUUGCCAAGCCAUGUAUUAGAGUCGAAUAUGAUUAAACCGUUAAACAAGAAACAAAAUUCUUACACAAUUAUUAUUUUUUAUUCAUAAAAUUCGAAUUUAAAACGAGAAAUAAAUUAACUAUUAAAGGCCCAAACAUAACACGUGAAAACAAAAAGGCUCCCGGGUUGGUUGUGUGUCUGCCUUGGUUUUCAAUGGCAGUAGCGGUGGGUUGAGGGUUUCUGGGUGUUGCGUAGCGGUGCUUUUUGGUUGUUUCUG
rnacentral:lncRNA from 1 species